CAGAAUAUACAGAAAUGGCGAAACCGCUAUUAAAGGUUUGUUUGUUCAACGAUUAAAGUCCUACGUGAUCUGAGUUCAGACCGGAGAAAUCCAGGUC